rnacentral:rRNA from 1 species
GUUUGAUCCUGGCUCAGGACGAACGCUGGCGGCGUGCUUAACACAUGCAAGUCGAACGGUGACGAGGAGCUUGCUCCUCUGAUCAGUGGCGAACGGGUGAGUAACACGUGAGCAACCUGCCCCAGACUCUGGGAUAACAGUUGGAAACAGCUGCUAAUACCGGAUACGAGACGGAGAGGCAUCUCUACCGUCUGGAAAGUUUUUCGGUCUGGGAUGGACUCGCGGCCUAUCAGCUAGUUGGUGAGGUAAUGGCUCACCAAGGCGACGACGGGUAGCCGGCCUGAGAGGGCGACCGGCCACACUGGGACUGAGACACGGCCCAGACUCCUACGGGAGGCAGCAGUGGGGAAUAUUGCACAAUGGGCGAAAGCCUGAUGCAGCGACGCCGCGUGAGGGGUGACGGCCUUCGGGUUGUAAACCUCUUUCAGCAGGGAAGAAGCGAAAGUGACGGUACCUGCAGAAGAAGCACCGGCUAACUACGUGCCAGCAGCCGCGGUAAUACGUAGGGUGCGAGCGUUGUCCGGAAUUAUUGGGCGUAAAGAGCUUGUAGGCGGUUUGUCGCGUCUGCAGUGAAAAUCCGAGGCUCAACCUCGGACUUGCUGUGGGUACGGGCAGACUAGAGUAUGGUAGGGGAGACCGGAAUUCCUGGUGUAGCGGUGGAAUGCGCAGAUAUCAGGAGGAACACCGAUGGCGAAGGCAGGUCUCUGGGCCAUAACUGACGCUGAGAAGCGAAAGCAUGGGGAGCGAACAGGAUUAGAUACCCUGGUAGUCCAUGCCGUAAACGUUGGGCGCUAGGUGUGGGGCUCAUUCCACGAGCUCCGUGCCGCAGCUAACGCAUUAAGCGCCCCGCCUGGGGAGUACGGCCGCAAGGCUAAAACUCAAAGGAAUUGACGGGGGCCCGCACAAGCGGCGGAGCAUGCGGAUUAAUUCGAUGCAACGCGAAGAACCUUACCAAGGCUUGACAUAUACCGGAAACAUCCAGAGAUGGGUGCCCCGCAAGGUCGGUAUACAGGUGGUGCAUGGUUGUCGUCAGCUCUUGUCGUGAGAUGUUGGGUUAAGUCCCGCAACGAGCGCAACCCUCGUUCUAUGUUGCCAGCGCGUAAUGGCGGGGACUCAUAGGAGACUGCCGGGGUCAACUCGGAGGAAGGUGGGGAUGACGUCAAAUCAUCAUGCCCCUUAUGUCUUGGGCUUCACGCAUGCUACAAUGGCCGGUACAAAGGGCUGCGAUACCGCGAGGUGGAGCGAAUCCCAAAAACCGGUCUCAGUUCGGAUUGGGGUCUGCAACUCGACCCCAUGAAGUCGGAGUCGCUAGUAAUCGCAGAUCAGCAACGCUGCGGUGAAUACGUUCCCGGGCCUUGUACACACCGCCCGUCAAGUCACGAAAGUCGGUAACACCCGAAGCCGGUGGCCCAACCCUUGUGGAGGGAGCCGUCGAAGGUGGGACUGGCGAUUGGGACUAAGUCGUAACAAGGUA